ensembl:lncRNA
CUCUUGUGUUCUGGGGGCCUCUGGAUGUCUGGAGUUUUGAUCUCCUCCAUACCUGCUUCAUGCCCUGGAGGACGGGGCUGUGGCCCCCCCCCCCACCCUCUAACAGAUCAUUACAUGAAGGAACCUUUUAAAAACAAGCGUGUUCAUGCUCACAGGUGUACACACGGGUGAUCACACACACAAACUACACCCUUUUUGGCUCCUACCUCAAAGCACACUGUGUGCUGUCGAUCUUAUGUGCUGCACAAUAAUGUUUAAUAUUUAGUAUUUACUGUCAUAUUCCCAUAUAUCAUUGUGAUGUUGUUUAUUAUGUUGCUCUCGUUUUCUUCUGCUUGUUUUCUUUUUUCAUUCUCAACAGGUGAAAUUAAAAAAGUAUCUACUGUUAUCUACUGUUAGCUAGUUUAUUGUGAUGGUGUUGUUUUUAUUAUGUUGCUCUUUGUUGUUUGUUUUCUCUUCUGUUUUUUUUUUUAUCAUCCAGGUGUUUUUUUGUUUUUCUUCUUCCCCCCUUUCUCACCGUCACUUCUCCCCUCUAGUUUUCUUUCUCUCCCUCUCUUUCUUUCAUUCUUUCUCCCUGUCCUAUCCCCAGUCAUGUCUGUCCCGUCUUUAAAAAAAUGAAAAUAAAAUACAUACAUAAUUAUAAUAAAAGGUCAAUCAAAUGGACCAAUAUGGCAAGGCCAUGAUGAUCCACUUGGUAAAGUAAAUCCACUUGGCAUCUUUCUUGGCCUUAAGACAACAAUUCUGAUGGCUAAAGAUCCAAACGGGACAGGCAAAAAAAAGAAAAAGGAGGAAGAGGAGGCUUUUUGGGUAGUUGUAAAUCAUGACAAAAAUAAAAUGCUGCGCAAAUAUUUGACUCUGCUUUAAGGGGAGCUCUCACUUCUACUUGUACCACAGUGUUGUGCAGAAGAGCCAAAAUCCUUUAAAGACUGCUUUGCUUAAGAGGCAGACCCGAUGCAGUGAUAUUACAGCUAAUUGGACUCAUUUGCAUGGCGCUGGGUUUCAGUGUCUGUUUGUCUUCAGUCAAGUGGAACAUUGAGUUCUUG